GGCGGCCAGGCGAUCGCGUGGCCCGUCCAUGAGGAAAGUCCGAGCAUCGCAGGGCAGGGUGCCGGUUAACGGCCGGUGAAGGCAACUUCAAGGAAAGUGCAACAGAAAGAAACCGCCUUAUGCCCUUGGCAUAGGGUAAGGAUGGAAAGGCGAGGUAAGAGCUCACCCGCCGCCUGGUAACAGGACGGCGCUGUAAACCCCACCCGAUGCAAGAUCCGAACAGAAGCGAUACGGCGGCCCGUCGUGCUUCUAAAGAGAUCGCUAUGGCCGUCUGGUAACAGACGGCCCAGAUAGAUGAUCGUCCAACGACAGAACUCGGCUUACGACCGCG
rnacentral:RNase_P_RNA from 1 species